AUGAAAAGGUUCAAGUUUGGGGUUGCAUGGGGGAAAUUGAAAGGCAAAUGAAAAGCACUGAGCUCAAAUGUGUGAAAAGAAAAAUUCAUGAGAAAAAGAAAAGAAAAGAAGAAAAGCAUGAAGAUGAGCUCAAUGAAAAAGAAAAGGGGAGAAAGUUGGGAAUGAGAGAGAUUGGUGAGGAAGAGAGUUGUGCUUAAAUGUUGAAUAUUUUGAUAGCUCUCUUAACUCGAGGACUUUGCAUUCCAGAAAAACCAAUUCUUCUUGUUAGCCCAACCUCAUUACAAGCCUUGAAAAGUCCUUUUGAUGGAAUUUGCAAGUAAAGAUGUUGAUUGUUUGAGAUGAAUUGCAAUUUUGUUUCAUGUGACUUGU
rnacentral:lncRNA from 1 species